rnacentral:ncRNA from 1 species
AAAAAGGGGAGCUUUUAAGCUGAGAGUAGGUUAGUCCUAGACCCAAUAACCUGAUUUGGAUAAUGCCAACGUAGGGAAUUAUAUCUUU